UAAUACGUGAGCUUCAAGCGUUAUCCGGAUUUAUUGGGCGUAAAAUGAAUGUAGGGGGAAAAAGGUGCACUUAGGUUAAAUCUGACUGCCUAACAGUCAACUUGCUUAGGAUAUGCUUUUUCUAGAGGAAGCCAGGGGUCUUCUGGAACAGACGGUGUAGGGGUGAAAUCCGUUGAUAUCGUCUGGAACACCAAAAGCGAAGGCAAGAGACCAGGGCUGUCCUGACCCUGAGAUUCGAAAGCGUAGGGAGAGAACGGGAUUAGAUACCCCGGUAUUCUACGCUGUAAAUGGUGCCGGCUAGCUAUUGGGAGUCUCGACCCUCUCAGUGGCGCAGCUAACGCGUUAAGCCGGCUGCCUGGGGAGUACGGCCGCAAGGCUA
rnacentral:rRNA from 1 species